UACGGUAGGGUGCAAGCGUUGUCCGGAAUUAUUGGGGCGUAAAGAGCUCGUAGGCGGUUUGUCGCGUCUGCUGUGAAAACCCGAGGCUCAACCUCGGGCCUGCAGUGGGUACGGGCAGACUAGAGUGCGGUAGGGGAGAUUGGAAUUCCUGGUGUAGCGGUGGAAUGCGCAGAUAUCAGGAGGAACACCGAUGGCGAAGGCAGGUCUCUGGGCCACUACUGCGCGAGAAGCGAAAGCUGGGAGCAACGG
rnacentral:rRNA from 1 species